UACGUAGGGGGCAAGCGUUGUCCGGAUUUAUUGGGCGUAAAGCGCGUGUAGGCGGCCAGAUAGGUCUGCUGUGAAACUCGAGGCUCAACCUCGAGCUGUCGGCGGAAACCAUCUGGCUACGAGUCCGGAAGAGGAGAGUGGAAGUUCCUGGUGUAGCGGUGAAAUGCGCAGAUAUCAGGAAGAACACCCGUGGCGAAGGCGGCUCUCGUGGGACGGUACUGACGCUGAGGAGCGAAAGCGGUGGGAGCGAACAGG
rnacentral:rRNA from 1 species